rnacentral:rRNA from 1 species
GACGAACCGUGCGAACGUUGUUCGGAAUCACUGGGCUUAAAGGGCGCGUAGGCGGCUUGCCAAGUCCGGGGUGAAAUCCUCCAGCUUAACUGGAGAAGUGCCUUGGAUACUGGCGAGCUCGAGCGAGGCAGGGGUGAUGGGAACUUCCGGUGGAGCGGUGAAAUGCGUUGAUAUCGGAAGGAACGCCGGUGGCGAAAGCGCGAUCACUGGUCCUCUUCUGACGCUGAGGCGCGAAAGCCAGGGGAGCAAACGGG